rnacentral:rRNA from 2 species
UACUUGACGGAGCAAUCCGCGUGAGUGAUGAAGGCUUUCGGGUCGUAAAACUCUGUUGUUAGGGAAGAACAAGUACAAGAGUAACUGCUUGUACCUUGACGGUACCUAACCAGAAAGCCACGGCUAACUACGUGCCAGCAGCCGCGGUAAUACGUAGGUGGCAAGCGUUAUCCGGAAUUAUUGGGCGUAAAGCGCGCGCAGGCGGUUUCUUAAGUCUGAUGUGAAAGCCCACGGCUCAACCCGGAGGGUCAUUGGAAACUGGGGAACUUGAGUGCAGAAGAGAAAAGCGGAAUUCCACGUGUAGCGGUGAAAUGCGUAGAGAUGUGGAGGAACACCAGUGGCGAAGGCGGCUUUUUGGUCUGUAACUGACGCUGAGGCGCGAAAGCGUGGGGAGCAAACAGGAUUAGAUACCCUGGUAGUCCACGCCGUAAACGAUGAGUGCUAAGUGUUAGAGGGUUUCCGCCCUUUAGUGCUGCAGCUAACGCAUUAAGCACUCCGCCUGGGGAGUACGGUCGCAAGACUGAAACUCAAAGNAAUUGACGGGGGCCCGCACCAGCA